AUGGCAGUAGUCACGCGGCCACCACAAUGGCGGUGGCGGCAGCACGUUGCCGAUGAUCCGAUGUUGCCCACAGCGGGCAAGUGCCUGGCAAGACGAAGAACGAGGAGCAAACUAGUUUCUUUUGCUACCCAUAUCCUUCAUCUAUCUUGUCUUACAGGAGAAGAAGAAAAUAGAUCACGCAGGUGGCAGCAGCAGCAGCAGCAGCCGCAACACCAUGGUAGCUAUAACUUGUUGACAAGACCAAGGGGGAGAAGAGAAGGGCACCCAAGCAGAGGAAUGCAGCCGGCCAAACCCACGCGGCGACACGCCCCUGGAGGCAGCGGACUCAAUGGCAGCAGCACGGGCACAAAGGGGAGGCACCAGCAGACGCAUCUGGCCAAACACCCAAGAGGAGCCCGCGGUGGCUGCGGCCGAUUGAAGAAUCUAACGCGGUGA
rnacentral:rRNA from 1 species